UUAUAAAGUAAGGCCAGCUAAGAGUUUUAUCCCAACAAAGGCCUGCUGGUAGAGCGUGCCUAUCGUAACGCUCAGUAAAACCGCAAUAGCGCUAGAGUACGGCUCGUCUACACAUCAACAGCAAGCCAGUGUUAUCAUUGUUUAUGCGCUCUAUUUAUCAAGCUUAACCCCAGAGCAAGCUAAAUCAACAACCCUUCGAUCCGGUAAAACACUAGCGUCAAGAUUCUUUGUCCCCGCCUCUCUCAGUCGCAGCACAGAGGUCAGCUACUGCACACUGCAUCGUCGAGCGUCAUCCAACGAUGGCAUUCACAUUUACCGACGCCGCCAAGAAUUCUUCCAAUCACAACAGCAUUCUGGUGCAGCUGACCGAUCUCACCGACUAUCCGCUGGAUGCCACGAAAAUCCCACCAGCUCCAAUGUUUGUGUCCGCCCGAUAUCGUGACUACGCGCAACAGGUGCGAGACUUUCCGGUGUACGAAGAUGACGUGUGGAUUGUAACCUUUCCCAAGAGUGGCACCACCUGGGCGGAGGAGAUGGUCUGGUUGCUCAAUCACGAGCUGGACUAUAAAACGGCGCGAGACACUAUACUAAACUGCAGAUCAUCUUUCCUGGAAUUUGGACCCAUAGCGUACACCUUCCAUAUCAAUACGAUCCUCUUAGCGGCCUGCAGUAAACGCCCGCGGCAGAUCAAAUCGCAUCUACCGCUUCCGCUACUACCACGGCAGCUGUGGACGGUGAAGCCACGCAUCAUCUACGUCGCACGCAACCCUAAGGAUGUGGCCGUCUCGUACUUCCAUCACAGCCAGGUUUUCGCUGGAUACCGUGCAGACCGAGGAGCGUUUUUUGACGAUUUACUUAACGAUCGUGUCGCGUUCUGUCCGAUGAUACAGCACGUGCUUCAGUUCUGGGCGCUAAGAAAUGAACCGAACGUACUGUUUCUAACGUACGAGAGCAUGAAACGGGAUCUCCGAGGACUUCUACCGAAGGUGUGCCAAUUUCUGAACAAAUCUUACACGGACACGCAACUGGAUGAGCUGGCGGUGCAUUUAUCGUUCAGUGCAAUGAAAAAAAAUCCCGCCACCAACAAACAUGGCUCGGUCCGUAACGCCCUGCUGUCACAAAAUCGUGAGGGGGAACACUUUGAAUUCAUGCGAAAAGGCAUCGUGGGUGAUUAUCGCAACGAGAUGCCGGAGGAGUACAUUAGACGGUUUGACCAAUUUGUGGCAGAACAGACGGCCGGAAGCGAUUUCAAGUUCGAGUACGAAUAGUUCGAGCAAGCGAUCGUAAGGUGGAUUUCCUGCUUUCCAGCAACAGAUGAACCAGUUUGCACUACUCUACUACUGCCGCUUCCGCAUCGCACAUACGGCUCCGCUUUCACUAUCUCCACUAGUCGACGGUCAUUAAACUUGUACCACAUAUCUCGCGGUCUUGUGCCCUGAGACGUACAUAAGGAAUAAAUUAUCUCCCUCAUUUCGCACUCAUGUGCAGCCUGCAGUCUUGUUGUCUUGUGGCGCAUGUGGAAAGCCUCGAGAACCCGUCCGCAAUUGCACGGCCUCUCUCAGUUGAAUGCAAUCGAACGUAUCCUAACUUCGAUUGGAAAGCGGCGAACCCUCGUUAGUUAGUGUGCAGCUACCCAACGAGCAACAUACUUGGCCCGGGGAACUCUCCAAGAUGAUACGCUACGACAAGCUUAACAACGCGUACACCGAUCGAAUCGAUUGCCCCGGAACGGAGAAGCAUUACCGACUGUCACGCUCCAUCCCGAACGGCGACGAGCAGUGGUGCAUUAUGAUAGAAAAGUUCUUGCCGCUGUUGAAACCGAUACAGCGAAUGCCGGUCUACGAGGAUGAUGUGUGGGUCAUAACGUUUCCCAAGUGUGGUACAACGUGGACGCAGGAGAUGGUUUGGUUGCUGAACAACAAUCUCGACUACGCGCGGGCGGCCAAACUAACGCUCGAAGAACGGUUCCCCUUUCUGGAGCUCUCAGGUGCGCUUUCCCUAAUGGAUGGAGACUCCGUCGGUAGGGUGCAGGAUCUGGCCCGACCACGCCACAUCAAGAGCCACCUGCCGGUGAUGCUGCUUCCGGACGCACUGCGAACCGUCCGGGCGAAAAUGAUUUACGUUUCACGCAACCCGAAGGAUGCGGCCACCUCCUUCUACCAUCACUAUCGCAACAUUGUUGGCUAUGACGGUCCGCGAGAGGACUUUUUCGACGCCUUCCUGAACGAUAGUCUCAUCUAUGCACCGUUUGGAGAGCAUGUGCGUGCGUACUGGGAGUGGAGCAACCGGCCGGAUGCGGGUAACUGUCUGUUUCUAACGUACGAACAAAUGAAACGUGAUUUGCGUGGCGUUAUUGGGCGCGUCAGUGCGUUCCUGGGGAAGCAGUACAGCUCCAGCGAGGUGGACGAACUGGAAAAGCACCUUUCGGUGGAGUCGAUGAGAACCAACAAAUCCUGCAACAUGGAUGAUUUGCUAGAAUGGGCAAGGAAUACAACGUACAGCGAAGAGCGUAAAAAGCUCUCCAAAAGUAACUUCAAGUUCAUUCGCAACGGAACGGUUGGAUCGUACCGGCAGGACAUGAGCGACGAAUACGUCCAGCGCUUUGAGGAGUAUGAGCAGGCCAUCACCGAAGGAAUUGAUUUUGAUUUUUUCUUCUAACAGUAAACCACAUACCCCUUUUUCUUGGCUAAUUGAAAGCUCACACACCACGCACGAGCGGCAAUAAAUUACCUUCAUGCAACCAAACAA